rnacentral:rRNA from 1 species
GUGGAGCAAUCCAUGAGUACAGUGGCGACCGGGUGAGUAACACGUGACUAACCUACCUUCGAGUGGGGGAUAACCUCGGGAAACCGAGGCUAAUACCGCAUAACAUCGAGAGAUCAAAGGAGCAAUUCGCUUGAAGAGGGGGUCGCGGCUGAUUAGCUAGUUGGCGGGGUAAUGGCCCACCAAGGCGAAGAUCGGUAGCCGGCCUGAGAGGGCGCACGGCCACACUGGAACUGAAACACGGUCCAGACUCCUACGGGAGGCAGCAGUGGGGAAUUUUGCGCAAUGGGGGAAACCCUGACGCAGCAACGCCGCGUGGAGGAUGAAGCCCCUUGGGGUGUAAACUCCUUUCGACCAAGACGAUAAUGACGGUACUGGUGGAAGAAGCACCGGCUAACUCUGUGCCAGCAGCCGCGGUAAUACAGAGGGUGCGAGCGUUGUUCGGAAUUAUUGGGCGUAAAGGGCGCGUAGGCGGCGCAGCAAGUCACCUGUGAAAUCUCUGGGCUUAACUCAGAGCCUGCAGGCGAAACUGCUGUGCUGGAGUAUGGGAGAGGUGCGUGGAAUUCCCGGUGUAGCGGUGAAAUGCGUAGAUAUCGGAAGGAACACCUGUGGCGAAAGCGGCUCACUGGACCAUAACUGACGCUGAUGCACGAAAGCUAGGGGAAGCAACAGGAUUAGAUACCCUGGUAGUCCUA